CGAAGAACCUUACCUAGACUUGACAUCCCGGGAAUCCUUAGGAAUAAGGAGUGCCUUUCGGGGAGCCCGGAGACAGGUGCUGCAUGGCUGUCGUCAGCUCGUGUCGUGAGAUGUUGGUUAAGUCCGCAACGAGCGCAACCCCUAUCUUUAAUUGCCAUCAUUCAGUUUGGGCACUUUAGAGAGACUGCCGGUGUUAAGCCGGAGGAAGGUGGGAUGACGUCAAGUCCUCAUGGCCUUUAUGUCUAGGGCUACACACGUGCUACAAUGGGUGGUACAAAGAGCAGCUAACUCGCGAGAGUAUGCAAAUCUCAAAAAGCCAUCCUCAGUUCGGAUUGGAGUCUGCAACUCGACUCCAUGAAGUUGGAAUCGCUAGUAAUCGCGGAUCAGCAUGCCGCGGUGAAUUACCGGUUCCCGGGCCUU
rnacentral:rRNA from 1 species